UGGGGCUUCGGAGAUUGUAUCGCGUGAGAGUCACAGCCAAUGAAGAGGCGGAAGUGACGACUCUUCGCUGCCACCCGCAGCUGCUACGAGGCUGCAUCCUGAGUGGAUUGCUCUUCUGCCCCGCCAGGUUCUUCAUUUCUCAGGUAUCGCCGAGAGAUCAGCAUCAAGGCUGAACUAUACCAUUUAGAAGAAUGGAAGCGAAUGCAUCUGUUGACAUGUUUUCAAAAGUCCUGGAGAACCAGUUGCUUCAGACGACCAAACUAGUGGAAGAACAUUUGGAUUCAGAAAUUCAAAAGCUGGAUCAGAUGGAUGAGGAUGAAUUGGAACGCCUCAAAGAAAAGAGACUUGAGGCACUAAGGAAGGCUCAACAGCAGAAACAAGUAACCUCUCUGCUCUGCUUUCUGAAAUUGCUAUAACAGAAUGGCUUUCAAAAGGACAUGGGGAAUACAGAGAAAUUCCCAGUGAGAGAGACUUUUUCCAGGAAGUCAAAGAGAGUAAAAAAGUGGUCUGCCAUUUCUACAGAGACUCCACAUUCAGGUGUAAAAUACUAGACAGACAUUUGGCAAUACUGUCCAAGAAACAUCUUGAGACCAAAUUUUUGAAGCUGAAUGUGGAAAAAGCACCUUUCCUUUGUGAGAGACUUCGUAUCAAAGUCAUCCCCACACUAGCCCUGGUGAAAGAUGGAAAAACACAAGAUUUUGUUGUUGGAUUCUCUGACUUAGGAAAUACAGAUGAUUUCACCACAGAAACUUUAGAAUGGAGGCUGGGUUGUUCUGAUAUUCUCAAUUACAGUGGGAAUUUAAUGGAACCACCAUUUCAGAGCCAGAAGAAAUUUGGAACAAACUUCACAAAGCUGGAAAAGAAAACUAUUCGAGGAAAGAAAUAUGAUUCAGACUCUGAUGAUGAUUAGAAAUCAGUUUUAAUUCUUUGUAAAUCUACCUUUUAUUUCUCCUUCUUCAGAAUGAGAUGUAUUUUCUAAAUUCUGUUGACUUCAGUACACUGGUCUUCUAAUGGUCAUAUUCUAGAGUUUUAGGCAGUUGCAUCGCACUGAAAGACAUCUUUAAUAUUUUCUGUGUGGAGGCUCAUGUUUAAGGUGAGGAAAACUUCUGAGUUCUAAAAUUAUCUGAAAAAGGUCUGGAUUCUCUAUUUUUGAGAUUGGUUUUAUCAUGAUAUGAUUCUUACAUUUUUAUACCAUUCUCAAUUGUGUUUUUAAUCUACUAGAUUAGAAAUAGAAUGCAGCAAACUCUUCUAGGACUAAUUCUUACACGGCAUUAUUUACAUUACACAAGAGGUCAAGUAACAUUUACUGGUGUAAAAGACUGCACUCGUAAAUGAAUUAGAAACACUCUUCACUUCUGCAAUAUAUUUAACUAUUAAAGAACUGUUUAUUUAUUCUGUAUGCUGCAUGGUGUUGUUGAAUCAACUAAUGGCAGCAGAUAGCUUUGUCAGGUUGUGAACAUAUUGCCUUACUUAAAGGGUCUUGAUUGCUUGUAUUUUAAGACAUGCAUUAAACAAGAAACAUUUUUUGAAUGGCAUCACGAGGAGAACUACAGACCCCUAAGAGAAACAACCAUAACUUGUAAAUAUUUUUUAAAAAAUUAAAGUCUGUAAAUUGUCAAAA